UACGUAGGAUGCAAGCGUUGUCCGGAAUUAUUGGGCGUAAAGCGCGCGCAGGCGGUAUGACGAGUCAGAUGUGAAAGAGGCCGGCUUAACCGGCAAGGGUCAUUUGAAACUGUCAGACUAGAGUGCAGCAGAGGAUAGUGGAAUUCCCGGUGUAGUGGUGAAAUGCGUAGAUAUCGGGAGGAACACCAGUGGCGAAGGCGACUAUCUGGGCUGCAACUGACGCUGAGGCGCGAAGGCUAGGGUAGCAAACAGG
rnacentral:rRNA from 1 species